GCCGCCGGACCCUUGCUCGAACAAUGUCCUUCUGGCAGUUCUGUCGUUUCUGCAAGUGAUUAUUCUGCAGUUUCUAGCAGUAGUGAAUCUGAGGAUGAUAUCUGAUCGUCGGAUUUCAGUUCGGACGACGGCAACUCACAAAACAAGGCCGGAUCGUCGUCAGCUGUUCGGCAUGGUUGAUAAAGCCUCUAUGUUCGUCGACGUGGAAUACGCUCCAUGCAGUGGCAAACUUGUCAGAGGGAAGCGGUGCGACAAGAAUCGAACUGGGCGUCGAGUUAUGUGGUACUACAAUGAAUCUUCCGACUCUUGCCGUAAAUUCACCUAUCGUGGAUGCAACGGAAACAACAACCGAUUUAGCAGCAAGGAGAUGUGCAAGGACAUAUGCAAGCCAUACACAUAUUCGUUGGAUGAUUACAAAAGGCGACUUGGAGAAGAUAUAGUUGCCUAACGCUGAUUUAUUGCUAAUGCUGUGCGACAAUUGCAUCUCACAUUUCC